rnacentral:rRNA from 1 species
ACGGAGGGUGCAAGCGUUAAUCGGAAUUACUGGGCGUAAAGCGCACGUAGGUGGCCAUUUAAGUCGGAUGUGAAAGCCCCGGGCUCAACCUGGGAAUUGCAUUCGAUACUGGAUGGCUAGAGUUCGAAAGAGGGAAGUGGAAUUCCAGGUGUAGCGGUGAAAUGCGUAGAUAUCUGGAGGAACAUCAGUGGCGAAGGCGACUUCCUGGUUCGAAACUGACACUGAGGUGCGAAAGCGUGGGGAGCAAACAGG